GGGCUGCUAGCUCAAUUGGAUAGAGCGUAUGACUACGGAUCAUAAGGUUGAGGGUUCGACUCCUUCGCAGCCCACCA
rnacentral:tRNA from 1 species